rnacentral:lncRNA from 1 species
UGCUGAGGUUGGCAGAGUCCUCUGAGUUCCUCUAACUUAAUCCCUGCCCAAGCAGGGACACCCAGAGCAGGGUGCCCAGGACAAAGUUCAGGCAGUUUUUGAAGUUCUUCAAGAAGGAGAUUCCACAGCCUCUCUGGGGCCGGAUGUGGAGAAGGAAUCUUACAGUUCAUAAACAAGAUCAUAAAAGAACAACUUGCUUUGUUACCACUUCUACUGAGGCUGUGAAACACGAGUUACUGAAAAUACUACACUGCAGCUUGUGUCCAUGAGGCUCAGGAGAAUGAGAUGCUGUGCUGCAAACAACUCAGAAGCAGGUACAGAAGUUUGUAUUGAAACAAGAAGCAAACCUCUCCCAGAGCAGGAAAGGAGAAGAAGGAGGGGAGAAAAUGAGCUGCCUCAGUAAUAUACCUCCUCUGACAAAGCUGAAAGUGCCUGGCUAUUUCUCAGCAAAUGAAAAAAAGUCUAAAGGAAUGAGGACUUGUGUGGCCUCCCCCAACCAAAAAAAUAAAAAAAGAGGAAAUGAGCUAUCCUGGCAAAGACUUUUGGAUUAAAUCUACAGAUUACACUGGACCUGACUUCACUCAGAGACUGAAAUACGUGCCGCUCUCUUGAUGAGCAGAUACAUUACAUUCAAUCUAUCUAGCAGUUUUUGUCCUGCACAAGCCAAAUCUCCUUUCAACAUCAAUAUUAUUUAUUAGCUCAUGAGCUUUCCUCUGCAAGUCAUCACCAGGAGAUCUGAGAGCCUCUACAGACACUAGCAAGCCUAUUCUCAUACUGGUUUGCACAAGGGAAUAAGAUAGAGUGCUAGCCUGGAGCAGAAGUCACUUCUCCAUACCAGUUCUGCAGGAUUCUACAUACCAGGUUCAGCUGAUCCUGCUGGAAUUCCUUGCUGAGCCAAAUUUUGGCUCCUACAGACCAUCUGUGCACUGCAAAGACCCUGGCUCCUUGCCUGUCUGCUACAUUGCCUCCCAAAGUACUCACAAACCAUGCAGCAG